UACGUAGGGCGCAAGCGUUGUCCGGAAUUAUUGGGCGUAAAGAGCUCGUAGGCGGCUUGUCACGUCGGGUGUGAAAGCCCGGGGCUUAACCCCGGGUCUGCAUUCGAUACGGGCAGGCUAGAGUGUGGUAGGGGAGAGCGGAAUUCCUGGUGUAGCGGUGAAAUGCGCAGAUAUCAGGAGGAACACCGGUGGCGAAGGCGGAUCUCUGGGCCAUUACUGACGCUGAGGAGCGAAAGCGUGGGGAGCGGACAGG
rnacentral:rRNA from 1 species